rnacentral:rRNA from 1 species
UACGUAGGAUCCAAGCGUUGUCCGGAUUUACUGGGUGUAAAGGGUGCGCAGGCGGACUUGUUAGUCAGAGGUGAAAUCUCACUGCUCAACAGUGAAACUGCCUUUGAUACUGCAGGUCUUGAAUCCAGAAGAGAGUUGUGGAAUUCCGAGUGUAGCAGUGAAAUGUGUAGAUAUUCGGAAGAACACCAGCGGCGAAGGCAGCAACUUGGUCUGGUAUUGACGCUCAGGCACGAAAGCAAUGGGGAUCAAACAGG